AAGGAAUAAUUUACCUGGAUUUUCAAGAGGACAAACCUUGCAUUCUGUGACUUGUCGUGGCUGAUGCAGCCUAGAAGGCGUGGGAUCCCAGGAAUAAGCUUCUCCCUCUAGUGGCAGCAGAAAGCGAGAUGCAGAACUCUUGGACCAGGUGAGAAAAAGGUUAAUUUGCUUGAGAAAUCAUGUCUAUGCCAGAGAAGGUCAACUUGUUCCAUCAUCGUGUUCUGCCAUUGGAGCUGACCUCAACCUAAGCACGGCACUUUAAGGCAGGAAUUAGACAUCCUGUUUUUCUCCAUGCUUUUCCCAGCAUUUGUUUUCUCCUGUUGUCAUAGUUUCUCAGAAAAGGCAGGAGGGUGUGACUCCCAGGAAUGAAUUCUGUUCCCUCUCAAGUCGUGUUUUUGACGUUGCACUUCAAAAACUUCGAUUUUUGCUGUGGCUGUGCCAAGCUGUGUCAGGUGUGACUGCCCAUGAGCCAAAACACCAAGUCUAUUUGGGAAUGGUGUCAAAGGCAGGAAAAAACUGUGGAAGCACAAAGAUUGGGAAAGACUGGGAAUAUUAACUUUGUCAAAGUGGAUGUCCAUGGAUAUCAAAGCAUAGUGAGUCCUGGGGAUGUCCCAGCUCCUCUUCCUGUGCUAUUCCCAUGAUUUGCAGGAUUCUGACCACAAACGAUGGACCAAGGCAUCCAAAUCCUUGGAUCCAAUCCAAAUCCAGAAGCUCCUGCUUCUUGGAGCCUGGAUUCAACUCUUGUC